rnacentral:lncRNA from 1 species
CACAGUUUAUACGAAAAAUGUAGAAGAUAAAAUACAUUAUGUCGUAACAUAAUAAGAAUAGGAAUCGGAAUUACCUACACAGCAUAGGAUGGUUAGGAUGUGGAAAGAAAAUAUUAACAAAGAAUAAAAGUCAAUUAGCUCAAAUUAGAACAUUACAAAAUAGAAACAAAUCGAAGAUUCAUACAAAUAGAAAUCCAAAAGGCACUGGAAGAAAGAUUAAACGCCUUUAAAGUAGUGAUAAAGUCUACAGCAACAGGAAUAUGUGGAAUCAGAAAACAUAAGUAACACCAUAAAAUAGCGAGGUAGUGGAACAAUAAAGCAGCAAUCAAGAAAAA